ensembl:lncRNA LINC00411 long intergenic non-protein coding RNA 411
AUUGGCUCUACCUCUCAAAUCCUCACUUACACAGCCUAUAAGUGUUGGGGUGCCUUAAUGCUUGAUGUUAGACCAUCUACUCUUCUCACUUAAUAACCUUUCUCUGAGGCAUCUCAAUCAGAGCUGUGGCCUCAACUGCUUAACAGAGGCAUGUGAAAAGUGCUGCAGGAGUGUUCAGCCGAGUGCGUGACUAUGUCAUGUGAAAAGUAGCUUGAUUUGGGGUCACUGCUAUUCAGUGGAAAAUUUAACCUUGGGAUGGAUAAUGCAGCCCAAAUUUGAACUCUGAAAGACUAUUCACUGGAUUGGAAGACCAAUAGAUACCAAUAAAUUAAAAGUAAUUGCUGUUUAUCCUUCAUCAAAAUUACCAUUAUUCUACAAGGUGGCCCUCCAGAGUUAGUGAACUGUGACCUCCACAUGGGAUUUGGACAUGCGUGCCCUACAUCUGGAAUGCAGAAACACUCUUCACAGAACUCUGAUAGCCCAGGAAUAUUUAUGUAAAUCUCUGUCCUGGUAAGGCACAUGUUGAUGUACUUGGGCUUAAGCUCAUAAACCAAGAGGAACAGUUUCCUACAUCCCCCUUCUAAUGACUAAAGCCAACGGGCUGAGCCAAAUGGGACAAUUUAGACAAAGAGAGACUGGCGAAAAGCAAAUGAAUGUCUGCUUCCUUCUAGCAUUCUAGGAAAAAUACCAAGCGGCUGUGCCAAUGUGCACUGCUUGCCUUUGUUAGGAGAAUACACUCAAAAUCAGGGGAAUCAGUCAGUACCAGGUUCAGGAAAGAUGUAUGCAAGAGAGACUCCCUGAUGAGGAAAAAUCGACUACAGAAACACAGCAUGCACCCAGCUCAGCACAAACACAGCUUAAAAAUCCAAGGAAUUAGGAUGAAGUGUAGAAUCCCGAGGUUCUCAUUCUUGUUCCCAUAAGCCAGGAUUGGCUGAGCCUUAGCCAGGAUACCACCUGGCAUUCAGCCACAUCGGCUAAAGAGAUGAGGAACCUGAGAGGAAACAAAUGUGAGGAAGAGGAUGAUUCAAGAGGACCAGAAAUACAAGGAAAGGACAGAGGCCCUCGGAUGGUUCACUGCAGAGAAGACAGGCUGAAAGAUUUAGGAACCGGCUGAAAGCCAACAUGCCAGAGCCUCCCAAAGGGUGGAAUCAGAGAUCUCUCCUGCUAUUAUUGUAUCAGCAGCCUCACGUCUACCCUCGGGCCUGAAUUUUGUUAUAGAUUUAUACACAUUUGAUAUAGAGUCCUUCCCAUGCUACUUUCCUACUAUCUCUGUGUUUCCUAGAACCAAGGGUGUCAGAAUACAAUGCAUUUGGUGACAAGCUGACUGGACUCAAAGAGAAGUUGCUGUGGGAUUUCUGCAAGACCAGAGUCUUAGAGGAGACGGUGCCCAAGUCUAACUUGUUCACUCUUGGAAUGCCAGGCACCAAACAUGGUGCCUGGUCCAUUGCUGGCAGUGGGUUCUUCCUAUGUGCCAUGCAUUUGACUCUCCUAGGGAACUCCUUUAAAAUAGAGAUAUCAAGCACCCCCUCCUUCCCAGAAGAUGCUCAUCCUGUUGGUGGAGACAGGACCA